rnacentral:lncRNA from 1 species
ACACAUUAUUUGUCGGCGAUUUUUUGUAUAAAGCUUGCGGUUUAACAAAUUGAAAAUUGCUGUCAUGAACAGUAAUGAUGAAAAUAAGUUUGAGAUCGUUUAUUAGGAAACUUUGGUAAAAAAAAAUUAUUUUUUUAUUUUCUUUCAAGGUCCGUCGGGCAUGUCGGGCGUUGCUAGUAACCAAGUAGAAAGUCCGACUGCAAAAGUGGAAGGUCGCAGACCUCGGACCACCGCUAAUUUGAACCCCUGCGUCCAAAUUGAAAAGAUACAAAAUUU